UUUCAGUAUUCGGCAGUUUGCUGUUACAGCAAUAAAUGACGUUUUAAGGGUGUGGAAAAUAGAUUAUAAAUACUGGAGACUAUACAUGCAUACUUCUGGCAGCUCUGGUUUCUUAGGUCUAUGAAGACUGGCAUUAAAAUAUCAGAAAAUGAGAGAAUACAUUUUUUUCAGUGUUCCAGCCUUCUACAUUGUGAAAAAAAUAUGUGAUAUUAAUUUAUGUUCCCUAUUGUAUUAAACUCCUUUUAAUGUAAAACAAUAUAGGCUUAGAUUACAAGUGGAGCGCUAUUUAGCACUUUUCCUUGAGUGUAAACUAUACCCAGAAGAUAGCUUUUUGCACACGUAUCACAAGUUGAAAGUAAAAUGAUUUUUUUUUUUUUUUAAUUCUAAAUAAUCCAUAGAAUAUAUCUAUAUUGUUUACAGUUUGAAUAAUAAUAUGGAAUUUCAAUUGUGGCUAUCCAAGAUGAGUACAGUUCAGGUGAGAGCAUCUGUGCAAAAAUCCUGAUGCGUUUUGAAGUAGUUCCUUCUUCGUCAGAGGAUUGAAAUUCAUUUUAAACCUUCAAAAUACUUCAGGAUUUUUGCGCAGACGCUCCCAUCUGAACUGUGCUCAUUUUGGAUUAAACUUCCAUACAGAAGUGGAGUUGAUCAAGUUGGUGCCACCAAGGCUCUCCCUCCAACUCGCGACACGUCAUAGGAUUGAGGGAACCAAUUGAAAGUAGGAACCAUGACGGGGCACUCCAUUGUUACAACAUUUACCUCACAUUUUGGGGUUUCACCAGUUUUUUUCUUUUCUUUUGGGACCCUUUAACUUGUGGUGAGAAUAUAUAUGCUCUACCACAAAAUGAAGAACAUUUAAUUAUAUUGAAUUUAAAAAUAAUUUAACUCUGUGCUACCGCUAUCCUCCCCCUUGUCUUUGUAAUGUUAAUUUUUGUCAAUGCUGAUAUAUUUUGAGAAGAUAUAUUAAGCAUAUAAAGGAGAUUUGGCUGCAUAAAUUGUUUUUCAUUCACCUUAUGUAGUAGAAUUAUAUUUACACUGGUUUGCCUAGUACAACUUAACACAAAUAUAGGGACUUUGCACCACAUACCCAACACCUGUAAUUAUUUAUAUAUGUAAAGAAAUAAAAUCUGAUAGCGUUCCUAAAUAUCACAUUAUUUUUCGUCUACAAAUUGUUUUCAUCCAUUGAAAAUGUAUGUAUUUAUAUCUAUGUAUGUAUCUGGUCUGAUCUUUUAAAAGCUGUUGACUUUCAUAGACAUUUAAGUGACUAACCAAACUUAGCUCUGGCUAAUCAAUGUAUGUUCUACUUUAAAAUGUCUCCUUUACAUUUGUUGGUGCUAUUUAUAAGCAUAAAACAGAGGGUUUUCAUGUACCUCCAUACCCAAAAAUAAAGAUUGAACAUAGUCAAAUGCUUUAAAAACUACCUAUAACUUUUAUACAGCGUUUUGGUCUUUUGGCAGCCCUCAGAUUAAGUAUUAGGUGUGCUAACCAAACCCUACCAAUUUAUUUGUAUAAACAUAUCUAUGAUAAACAACCACAUAUCACUCCAUCAUACAACUUCUGAUAAACACUCAGGGGUUGAUUACUAUCCUCUAGAAAACUAUGUUUUUUUCCAAAAAAAAAUCAGCAUUUAAAAUCUAUAGAGAUUUUUGAAGAUAGAUCAUUUGAUAAAUAUUUUAAAUGAUUGUAAAAUAACCCUCAAUUUCUAAAAAAAAAAAAUCAUAAAAAAAUAAAAAGAAAUAUUGAACCAAAAACUUUGUAUCAACAUUUCAAGGUAAGGUAUAUGACUAAAGAAGAGAGCAUGAAGGAUUUACCAUGGGACGGACGCAUUGAGGAGAAUAAAUAAAGAUUUUGGAACAAAAAUGUCUUACUUUUAUUUGUAACCUUUCAAUAUAUCAUUAUUUAUCAGAUGUAUUAAUUACUAAAAAAUAAAUACAUUUCCAACCACUUUAA